rnacentral:tRNA from 2 species
GGAGGCGCAUCCGUUCUGGUGAACGGCGCGGUCUUCAAAACCGUCGGCGAGCUCGCCGAUGCGCGAGCUCGGGUAGGUUCGAUUCCUACACGCCUCC